rnacentral:rRNA from 1 species
AGACGGAGGGUGCAAACGUUGUUCGGAAUCACUGGGCAUAAAGCGCACGUAGGCGGUUCGUUAAGUCAGAUGUGAAAGCCCCCGGCUCAACCGGGGAACUGCAUUUGAUACUGGUGAACUCGAGGACGGUAGGGGUGAGCGGAACUCCAGGUGGAGCGGUGAAAUGCGUAGAUAUCUGGAGGAACACCGGUGGCGAAAGCGGCUCACUGGACCGUCUCUGACGCUGAGGUGCGAAAGCUAGGGUAGCGAACGGGAUUAGAAACCCCAGUAGUCC